CCUACGGGCGGCAGCAGUGAGGAAUAUUGGUCAAUGGGCGUAAGCCUGAACCAGCCAAGUCGCGUGAGGGAUGAAGGUUCUAUGGAUCGUAAACCUCUUUUAUAAGGGAAUAAAGUGCGGGACGUGUCCCGUUUUGUAUGUACCUUAUGAAUAAGGAUCGGCCAAAUCCGGUCCAGCCGCCGGGGUAAUACGGAGGAUCCGAGCGUUAUCCGGAUUUAAUGGGUUUAAAGGGUGCUCAGGAGGCCUUUUAAGUCAGGGGGGAAAGUUUGUGGGCCAAACCCAGAAUUGCCGUUGAAACUGGGGGUCUUGAGUAGGUUUGAGGCAUGCGGAAUGCGUGGUGUAGCGGUGAAAUGCAUAGAUAUCACGCAGAACCCCGAUUGCGAAGGCAGCAUGCCAAGGCAUGACUGACGCUGAUGCACGAAAGCGUGGGUAUCAAACAGGAUUAGAUACCCUGGUAGUC
rnacentral:rRNA from 1 species